rnacentral:rRNA from 1 species
CACGUAGGGCGCGAGCGUUGUCCGGAAUUAUUGGGCGUAAAGAGCUCGUAGGCGGCCUGUUGCGUCCGCUGUGAAAGCCCGGGGCUUAACCCCGGGUCGGCAGUGGAUACGGGCAGGCUAGAGGUAGGUAGGGGAGAAUGGAAUUCCCGGUGUAGCGGUGAAAUGCGCAGAUAUCGGGAGGAACACCGGUGGCGAAGGCGGCAUCCUGGACCAUUACUGACGCUGAGGAGCGAAAGCCAGGGGAGCAAACGGG